GGGAUUUACCUCAGUAACGGCGAGUGAAGCGGUAACAGCUCAAAUUUGAAAGCUAGCUCUUUUAGGGUUCGCAUUGUAAUUUGUAGAAGAUGCUUCGGGUGUGGCCCCGGUCUAAGUUCCUUGGAACAGGACGUCAUAGAGGGUGAGAAUCCCGUAUGUGACUGGGUGCUUUCGCUCAUGUGAAGCUCUUUCGACGAGUCGAGUUGUUUGGGAAUGCAGCUCAAAAUGGGUGGUAAAUUUCAUCUAAAGCUAAAUAUUGGCCAGAGACCGAUAGCGCACAAGUAGAGUGAUCGAAAGAUGAAAAGCACUUUGGAAAGAGAGUUAAACAGUACGUGAAAUUGUUGAAAGGGAAGCGCUUGCAACCAGACUUGCGCGCUGAUGAUCAUCCGGGCUUCUGCCCGGUGCACUCGUCUGCGCUCAGGCCAGCAUCGGUUUCGGUGGUGGGAUAAAGGCCUUGGGAAUGUGGCUCCUCUCGGGGAGUGUUAUAGCCCUCGGUGCAAUGCCGCCUACCGGGACCGAGG
rnacentral:rRNA from 1 species